CCUUCUAUAGCUCAGUUGCAUGGUAGAGCGAGGGACUGUAGAUCCCUAGGUCACUGGUUCAAAUCCGGUUCGAAGGA